rnacentral:rRNA from 1 species
UAGAGUUUGAUCCUGGCUCAGGAUGAACGCUGGCGGCGUGCUUAACACAUGCAAGUCGAACGGAACUGUCAUUUUUGAAGCAAUUAGCUUGCUAAGGGUGGAAAUGUUGGCAGUUUAGUGGCGGACGGGUGAGUAACGCGUGGGUAACCUGCCUUACACAGGGGGAUAACACCUGGAAACAGGUGCUAAUACCGCAUAACAGGAAGAGGCGCAUGCCACUUUCUUGAAAACUCCGGUGGUGUAAGAUGGACCCGCGUCUGAUUAGCUGGUUGGCGGGGUAACGGCCCACCAAGGCGACGAUCAGUAGCCGGCCUGAGAGGGUGGACGGCCACAUUGGGACUGAGACACGGCCCAAACUCCUACGGGAGGCAGCAGUGGGGAAUAUUGGACAAUGGGGGGAACCCUGAUCCAGCGACGCCGCGUGAGUGAAGAAGUAUUUCGGUAUGUAAAGCUCUAUCAGCAGGGAAGAAAGAAAUGACGGUACCUGACUAAGAAGCCCCGGCUAACUACGUGCCAGCAGCCGCGGUAAUACGUAGGGGGCAAGCGUUAUCCGGAUUUACUGGGUGUAAAGGGAGCGUAGACGGUUAAGCAAGUCUGAAGUGAAAGGCGGGGGCUCAACCCCCGGACUGCUUUGGAAACUGUAUGACUGGAGUGCAGGAGAGGUAAGUGGAAUUCCUAGUGUAGCGGUGAAAUGCGUAGAUAUUAGGAGGAACACCAGUGGCGAAGGCGGCUUACUGGACUGUAACUGACGUUGAGGCUCGAAAGCGUGGGGAGCAAACAGGAUUAGAUAC